rnacentral:misc_RNA from 1 species
CAGAGAGUGAAAACUCCCUAAACCCAACUGUCUAUCUACCUGUUUGUUGCUUCGGCAGGCGGUCCCAGGGGGGGUCCGUAGCCUGUAGAGGCGCCUGCCGGAGGCACCCAAACUCUGUUAUAACUUUGUCAUCCGAGUCCAAUUAAAAAAUAAGUAA